AGCCUUGUGGUAAGCUCAAAGUGAAUUAUUCUGUCGCCUUUUACUAAAGAAUACCGUGUGCUUGCCACAUUAAGAGGCAUGCAUGCGAUAAUUUUUGAAGGGUUUUUAUCUAUUAAAAAU